rnacentral:snoRNA from 1 species
CUUCGGCAUGAUAACUAGAUGACGGUCUCAAUUCCCAACGAUCAUAAUCCUUUAAGUUGCCGAUAUAUUAAAGCGAGAAUCUUACAAGUUACCUUUUCCUGCAUUGAAGCUUAACGUUUAAUUUUUCGCAACAAAU